rnacentral:tRNA from 1 species
UCCCUUGUAGCUCAGUGGCAGAGCGCCCGCCUGUUAAGCGGAUGGUCGGAGGUUCGAUCCCUCCCAGGGGAG